rnacentral:rRNA from 1 species
UUGACAUGCAGAGAACUUUCCAGAGAUGGAUUGGUGCCUUCGGGAACUCUGACACAGGUGCUGCAUGGCUGUCGUCAGCUCGUGUCGUGAGAUGUUGGGUUAAGUCCGUAACGAGCGCAACCCUUGUCCUUAGUUACCAGCACGUUAUGGUGGGCACUCUAAGGAGACUGCCGGUGACAAACCGGAGGAAGGUGGGGAUGACGUCGAGUCAUCAUGGCCCUUACGGCCUGGGCUACACACGUGCUACAAUGGUCGGUACAAAGGGUUGCCAAGCCGCGAGGUGGAGCUAGUCCCAUAAAACCGAUCGUAGUCCGGAUCGCAGUCUGCAACUCGACUGCGUGAAGUCGGAAUCGCUAGUAAUCGUGAAUCAGAAUGUCACGGUGAAUACGUUCCCGGGCCUU